rnacentral:rRNA from 1 species
GACGAACGCUGGCGGCGUGCUUAACACAUGCAAGUCGAACGAUGAAGAAAAGAAUUGAAGCUUCGGCAGAAAUUCAUUUCGGAUUAGUGGCGGACGGGUGAGUAACGCGUGAGCAACCUACCUCUUACAAAGGGAUAGCCUCGGGAAACCGGGAUUAAUACCAUAUAACAUUGCGACGAAGCAUUUCGAUGCAAUCAAAGCUACGGCGGUAAGAGAUGGGCUCGCGUCCCAUUAACCAGAUGGUGAGGUAACGGCUCACCAUAGUAACGAUGGGUAACCGGCCUGAGAGGGUGAACGGUCACACUGGAACUGAGACACGGUCCAGACUCCUACGGGAGGCAGCAGUGGGGAAUAUUGCACAAUGGAGGGAACUCUGAUGCAGCGACGCCGCGUGAGUGAUGAAGGAAUUCGUUUCGUAAAACUCUGUUCUAUGGGAAGAAAAGGACUGUACCAUAGGAGAAAGCGCCGGCUAAAUACGUG